GAGGAAUAUUGCGCAAUGGAGGAAACUCUGACGCAGCCAUGCCGCGUGCAGGAAGACGGCCCUACGGGUUGUAAACUGCUUUUAUCAGGGAAGAAACCCCGGGACGUGUCCCGGGUUGACGGUACCUGAGGAAUAAGCACCGGCUAACUCCGUGCCAGCAGCCGCGGUAAUACGGAGGGUGCAAGCGUUAUCCGGAUUCAUUGGGUUUAAAGGGUGCGUAGGCGGGGUGGUAAGUCAGUGGUGAAAUCCUGCAGCUUAACUGUAGAAUUGCCAUUGAUACUGCCAUUCUUGAGUGCGCUUGAAGUGGGCGGAAUGUGCCGUGUAGCGGUGAAAUGCUUAGAUAUGGCACAGAACACCAAUUGCGAAGGCAGCUCACUAAGGCGAUACUGACGCUGAGGCACGAAAGCGUGGGGAUCGAAC
rnacentral:rRNA from 1 species